GAUGAACGCUGGCGGCGUGCCUAAUACAUGCAAGUCGAGCGAACGGACGAGAAGCUUGCUUUUCUGAUGUUAGCGGAGGACGGGUGAGUAACACGUGGAUAACCUACCUAUAAGACUGGGAUAACUUCGGGAAACCGGAGCUAAUACCGGAUAAUAUUUUGAACCGCAUGGUUCAAAAGUGAAAGACGGUCUUGCUGUCACUUAUAGAUGGAUCCGCGCUGCAUUAGCUAGUUGGUAAGGUAACGGCUUACCAAGGCAACGAUGCAUAGCCGACCUGAGAGGGUGAUCGGCCACACUGGAACUGAGACACGGUCCAGACUCCUACGGGUGGCAGCAGUAGGGAAUCUUCCGCAAUGGGCGAAAGCCUGACGGAGCAACGCCGCGUGAGUGAUGAAGGUCUUCGGAUCGUAAAACUCUGUUAUUAGGGAAGAACAUAUGUGUAAGUAACUGUGCACAUCUUGACGGUACCUAAUCAGAAAGCCACGGCUAACUACGUG
rnacentral:rRNA from 1 species